GCCCCCAGCUAUCAGUCUCCAGGUCAAGUCUCUCCAUUAGUUGUCAAUUACUCCAUUCAGGCCCCGCCCCUAAGGCUGUCAGUCAGCAUCAGGUUACUCCCCCUAGCCGACUGACACUUCGUCUCCGGGCCGGCCCUCCCAUCUGUCAAUCAGUCUCAGGCCCCACCCUACACAUCCAUCAAUCGGUCUUCAGCCCCGCCCCAGGUCGUUGGGUGGCGGUUGGUGCACAGUUUCAUUUGAGAAGGAGGAGCCAGAGAUACGGUCUCCAAUCAUGGACCUUCCUGCGGCCCCUGGGCCGCCCGUUCUACCGUCUCCACAACCCCGGGGGCUCCCUCCCCGCCGCUCCCGCAGCCGCCGGGACCUGGCGCUGCUGGUGAUAAUGCUGGCGGCGCUGCUGGCCGCCGCUUCCCGGGGCUACCUGGGCUCCCAAGACGCCCAGGCCUCGGCGCUGCGGGAGACAGCCCUGAUCCCCGGAAAGAUCUCGUUCUUCUUCUCUGCUUUGGAUGUGAACAGGGACAUGUACAUCAGCCCUAAGGAGUUCAAGCCCAUUGCUGAGAUAAUGAGAGGUAGUGUAGUAAAGCCUAUCACUGACUUUGAAAAGACAGAGGAAUUGAAGGAGGAGACUUCCUCUCAGGAGGAGGAGCUGGCUAUUGUAACUCCAUUCGAGCCCCUGCUGCUAGACACCACAUCAAACAGUAAAACUGGUUUCAAAGAGGAGGAACCUUUAGAACCAGUUUAAAAAUCUCAGAAGAAAAUCUGUUUUGUUACUUCAUAAUCAUAUCAAUUUUUUUGACCAAAAAAAGCAUUUUCUCAGAUUGAUCAUCUACCUUCUUCACCAGACUUCACUUCCACUGACUUGGGGCUUUUUUUCCAAAAAAAAAAAAAAAUCAAAUCCACAAUUUAAAAAAAAAAGAAAAAGAAAUUUUGCUUUGAAAUCCAAAGUGGAAAAAGCAGGACAAAGACAGCAGAAGGGGAUCUCCUUCUUUUCAGAAGUACCAGGGAUGAGGAGGGUCUUUGCCAUUUUAGGUUGAGCAUUUGACUAUAAACUACAGAUAUUCCAAUUGUCCCAGCAAUUUUUCUUACCAUAUAAUUGUUAUCCCCAAAAUUUGGAUCUAUACUUUUGUCGAAUACAAGGUUCCUAUAAUUGUUUACUGUUUGUUGUGUCUGUUCUGUUCCACUGAUCUACCUUUCUGUUUCCUGGAACUUAUGAAUAAGUAGUAGUUUGAUAGAAACUAGGUAUAGACCAAUAUCUUACACCAUUUGCUAAAAUAAAAUCAAAAUAGAUACAUAACCUAGACA
rnacentral:lncRNA from 1 species